rnacentral:rRNA from 1 species
UACGUAGGGGGCUAGCGUUGUCCGGAAUCAUUGGGCGUAAAGAGCGUGUAGGCGGCUCGGUAAGUCCGCUGUAAAAGUCAAAGGCUCAACCUUUGAAUGUCAGUGGAUACUGCCGGGCUAGAGUCCGGAAGAGGCGAGUGGAACUCCUGGUGUAGCGGUGGAAUGCGCAGAUAUCAGGAAGAACACCAACGGCGAAGGCAGCUCGCUGGGACGGUACUGACGCUGAGGCACGAAAGCGUGGGGAGCAAACAGG